rnacentral:rRNA from 1 species
GUCCUACGGGGGGCAGCAGUGGGGGAUAUUGCACAAUGGGGGAAACCCUGAUGCAGCGACGCCGCGUGUGGGAAGACGGUCCUCUGGAUUGUAAACCACUGUCCCCAGGGACGAAAAUGACGGUACCCGGGGAGGAAGCUCCGGCUAACUACGUGCCAGCAGCCGCGGCAAUACGUAGGGAGCGAGCGUUGUCCGGAAUUACUGGUGGUAAAGGAGGCGUAGGCGGGGGUUGAAGUUGGGAGUCA